rnacentral:lncRNA from 1 species
AAGGAGCUCCCUCGGAGCAGGUACUUCCCCUUAGACAGCUUUUGUCAGAGGAAAGGCGGAAUUGGUUAUGGGCUACGUGCUUUUACCGCCUUUCCAGAACAGGAAACAGAAUCAACAGAACCAUGAAGAAAAAUGCUGGUGGAAAGAGAAGGUCUGUCCCAGGAUACAGGAAGAUCUCUUUAAGAGCUAAGCCACUGUUGUGCUGCCUCCCCAGCUAGUUCUGCAAACCAGCUGCCUGCCUGUGUGAGCACAGAUGCGACAAAGGAAUUGCUUGAAACUGGAAGUUCUUGCACCAGUCCCUUUCCAGCCUGUCUCCUGAUGCUGGCUAGUCCCCACCAUGCCCUCCAUCCUGAAGUGCAUCUGAUGGCGUUUCUAGCUCAAUAUUGGAGUUCUUUAAAGAAGUACCUUCAUCACAGGACUUGCGUUUAUCUUUGGUGGUUCUCCCUUCCUCCUUGUCCCCCUGGUGAUAACAUCGGAUCUUUAAGCAUUUGCCAAGCUGCGAAGAGAGAGAUGGGGUCAGGCUGGCCAACCCUCUGAGGUGGCGGCAGAAGAGAAGAUGCCAGCGAACAGCGUGUUUUGCUGCCUCCUCACCUUCAGCCUUUUCAGCAGCUCCCAGCUCAGCGGCUUUCUUCCGUUUUCCUCCUCACUGCACCGAGGACGAUGGUGUUUGAGCAUGCUGAGGGUACUGCAGCGCAGCAUUGCAGGUGAGGGCUUCGCAUGAGCCGUGCUGCCCAGGCUAUGUGCCGUGAGU